rnacentral:rRNA from 1 species
AUUGAACGCUGGCGGCAGGCCUAACACAUGCAAGUCGAGCGGAUGAAGGGAGCUUGCUCCUGGAUUCAGCGGCGGACGGGUGAGUAAUGCCUAGGAAUCUGCCUGGUAGUGGGGGAUAACGUCCGGAAACGGGCGCUAAUACCGCAUACGUCCUGAGGGAGAAAGCGGGGGAUCUUCGGACCUCACGCUAUCAGAUGAGCCUAGGUCGGAUUAGCUAGUUGGUGGGGUAAAGGCCUACCAAGGCGACGAUCCGUAACUGGUCUGAGGGGAUGAUCAGUCACACUGGAACUGAGACACGGUCCAGACUCCUACGGGAGGCAGCAGUGGGGAAUAUUGGACAAUGGGCGAAAGCCUGAUCCAGCCAUGCCGCGUGUGUGAAGAAGGUCUUCGGAUUGUAAAGCACUUUAAGUUGGGAGGAAGGGCAGUAAGUUAAUACCUUGCUGUUUUGACGUUACCAACAGAAUAAGCACCGGCUAACUUCGUG